AUACGGAGGAUCCGAGCGUUAUCCGGAUUUAUUGGGUUUAAAGGGUGCGCAGGCGGCCAUUUAAGUCAGCGGUUAAAUCGUGGGGCUCAACCCCAUUCUGCCGUUGAUACUGGGUGGCUUGAUUGCGGUCGAGGUUGGCGGAAUUCCUUGUGUAGCGGUGAAAUGCAUAGAUAUGACGAACGACACCGAUUGCGUAGGCAGCUGACCAGACCGCAAAUGACGCUCAUGCACGAAAGUGCGGGGAUCGAACAGGAUUAGAUGCCCUGGUAGUCCGCACAGUAAACGAUGAAUACUUGUUUUCGGCGAUAUAAUGUCGGAGGCAAAGCGAAAGCGAUAAGUAUUCCACCUGGGGAGUACGCCGGCAACGGUGAAACUCAAAUGAAUUGACGGGG
rnacentral:rRNA from 1 species